ensembl:snoRNA SNORA74 Small nucleolar RNA SNORA74
ACCAGCUCUCAGUCAGCCGUCCAGACGUCGUUUGUGUCUGGAUGAGCGUUACAGUGCUGGUAGAGGAAGCUCCUGGACCGGCUUCACUGCAGCAGGUUCUGUUUUAGGACCUGGUGCUGCUGAGCGGUCGCAGGGCUCAGCCCAGUGAGAGUGGACCGUCCUGGUUCUGCUGCAGGACGGUCCUAGUACAGGGCUAUACAAA